rnacentral:rRNA from 1 species
UAGGGAAUCUUGCGCAAUGGGCGAAAGCCUGACGCAGCGACGCCGCGUGCGGGAAGAAGGCCUUCGGGUUGUAAACCGCUUUCAGGAGGGACGAAGCCACUCGGGUUAAUAGCCCAGAGGGUGACGGUACCUUCAGAAGAAGCCCCGGCUAACUACGUGCCAGCAGCCGCGGUAAUACGUAGGGGGCAAGCGUUGUCCGGAUUUAUUGGGCGUAAAGCGCGUGUAGGUGGCCGAUUAGGUCCGCUGUGAAAACUCGAGGCUCAACCUCGAGAUGUCGGUGGAAACCAGUCGGCUAGAGUCCGGAAGAGGAGAGUGGAAUUCCUGGUGUAGCGGUGAAAUGCGCAGAUAUCAGGAAGAACACCAAUGGCGAAGGCAGCUCUCUGGGACGGUACUGACACUGAGACGCGAAAGCGUGGGGAGCGAACAG